GAUGAACGCUGGCGGCGUGCCUAAUAUAUGCAAGUCGAGCGAACCACUUCGGUGGUGAGCGGCGAACGGGUGAGUAACACGUAGGUGAUCUGCCCAUCAGACGGGGACAACGAUUGGAAACGAUCGCUAAUACCGGAUAGGACGAAAGUUUAAAGGUGCUUCUGGCACCGCUGAUGGAUGAGCCUGCGGCGCAUUAGCUAGUUGGUAGGGUAAAGGCCUACCAAGGCGACGAUGCGUAGCCGACCUGAGAGGGUGAACGGCCACACUGGGACAGAGACACGGCCCAGACUCCUACGGGAGGCAGCAGUAGGGAAUCUUCGGCAAUGGGCGAAAGCCUGACCGAGCAACGCCGCGUGAAUGAUGAAGGCCUUCGGGUUGUAAAAUUCUGUUAUAAGGGAAGAACGACUUUAGUAGGAAAUGGCUAGAGUGUGACGGUACCUUAUGAGAAAGCCACGGCUAACUACGUGCCAGCAGCCGCCGUAA
rnacentral:rRNA from 1 species